rnacentral:rRNA from 1 species
CGCGGCCUAUCAGCUUGUUGGUGAGGUAACGGCUCACCAAGGCAUCGACGGGUAGCUGGUCUGAGAGGAUGAUCAGCCACACUGGGACUGAGACACGGCCCAGACUCCUACGGGAGGCAGCAGUGGGGAAUAUUGCACAAUGGGCGAAAGCCUGAUGCAGCAACGCCGCGUGCGGGAAGAAGGCCCUAGGGUUGUAAACCGCUUUCAGCAGGGAAGAAAAUGACGGUACCUGCAGAAGAAGGUGCGGCCAACUACGUGCCAGCAGCCGCGGUGACACGUAGGCACCAAGCGUUGUCCGGAUUUAUUGGGCGUAAAGAGCUCGUGGGCGGUUUUGUAAGUCGGGUGUGAAAACUCUGGGCUCAACCCAGAGAGGCCACUCGAUACUGCAAUGACCUGAGUACGGUAGGGGGGCGGGGAAUUCCUGGUGUAGCGGUGAAAUGCGCAGAUAUCAGGAGGAACACCAGUGGCGAAGGCGCCGCUCUGGGCCGUAACUGACGCUGAGGAGCGGAAGCGUGGGUAGCAAACAGGAUUAGAUACCCUGGUAGUCCACGCCGUAAACGUUGGGCACUAGGUGUGGGUCUCAACCAACGAGAUCCGCGCCGUCGCUAACGCAUUAAGUGCCCCGCCUGGGGAGUACGG